rnacentral:rRNA from 1 species
UACGUAGGGGGCAAGCGUUGUCCGGAUUUAUUGGGCGUAAAGAGCGUGUAGGCGGCCAGGUAGGUCAGCUGUGAAAACUCGAGGCUCAACCUCGAGACGUCGGUUGAAACCACCUGGCUAGAGUCCGGAAGAGGAGAGUGGAAUUCCUGGUGUAGCGGUGAAAUGCGCAGAUAUCAGGAGGAACACCGGUGGCGAAGGCGGGUCUCUGGGCCGAUACUGACGCUGAGGAGCGAAAGCCAGGGGAGCAAACGGG